AUCGCUUCUUGGCCUUUUCGCUAAGAUCAAGUGUAGUAUCUGUUCUUAUCAGUUUAAAUUGUCCCUCCAGCACUCGGUCUCUCUUUCCAACUUUAUCUUUCUCUGACAAUUAUCAUACAUUAUAUAUUAUACUAAUCUAUUUGUUUGCUAUCUUUCUUCCCUUGCUAGAGGGAAGCAGGAAUUCCAAUGAAGCAGAAAUAUUCAACCAUUU
rnacentral:snRNA from 1 species